CGACCUUGGGACUACACAGCCUUCGUACGCACGUACGCGCUAUACCUCGACGAGAGGCUCGACUGCUUCUUAACCGGGAAGCUACGGAGACGGUACACUACUAAUAACAAGAACCAAACCGGGAUCAGAUCCCGGUUUAAUCCGAGAACUAAUAAUAAUUUACAAAGCUAAAAAUCAAAACUUUCAUCAACCCUUUUAAUACUAACAAUCAAAGAUAGAAACUUUGAAUGUGAUUAUUACCGGAGAGGAGGAGAUUGUCGUCGAACUUGGAGAGGGGGACGAAGUCGGUGAGUUUUCUUUUGCCGGUACAGCCUGUUCGCUUCUUGUGAGCUUUGACACAAGGGAGGGCGCAUGAUCGAAUUGAGCAUCCUGGGCAUUUGUAUUUCCAUGGGUUCGACUUGCAUUCGCCGCAGACUUUAUCAUCAUCGUCCAUUGAUUUUUGUUCGGAUUCGAUGUUGUUCAUCGUUAAAGGUUUGGUUUUUUUGAGGUGGGGAGAGGUUUUAUGGAAACUAGGGUUUAUUAAUCUGAGAGAGGAGACAUGUAUGUUUUCAAAUUUACAUUAUAGUCUCCGUAUUUAUCAUUUAUUACGAAUACACCCCAUAACUUUUAAGAUGAAUACUAAAUUCGACAAGUUUGAUUUACACUUUAGAAUUUUGGUUCCAUAUAAUCAAAUCCAUGUUCCCCGGAAGGCGAGAAGACGAGGAGGCUGAGAGAUAUGACAGUGGCACACUUGAAACGAUUGGAAGAAUAUACAAGGUUGAAAUACCCAGGCCCGGCUCAAAGUUUGAGCUUCAACAUAGAUUACAAAGAGGUAUGUGGAUGAUCCAUAUAUCUGUUUCAGACACACCUAAUGUCAUAUAUAUAGCUUUAGAUUGCUCCAAUGAUAUUAUGUGUAGAAAAACUAGGAUAAGAGACUUAGGUAAACUUUGAGGGAAAAAAACUGCCGUAAACUUUUGAGUAACAAGGGAAUUCUGAUUGUUUGAAUAAUGGUAGAAAACCGACAAAAAAAUAAAGAAUAGUGAUAGAAAUUCCAAAAGGUUUUAAGUUUUUGGACCACGAAAAAAUUGAAAGAGCUUCUUAUAAUCAACGAAGUUGAGAUAUAGCCUUGUAAUGAAUGGUCAGAAGAAGAUUGUAUAUCAUGAGUAGCUGGACCAGACUUCUUUUUGUUAAUCCACACCACAGCGAAAAUCCCAAAAAUGUCAUUGUUUGCUUUGCUACCGACAGUAAUAAAGUUUCAGCUUGCACUUGCUAGGAAGUAGCUGCAAGAACAAUUUAAAGAGAUGUAUUUAGUUAAAAGUUUAAAAUAAUUUGAUUCAAGUUAUGAAUUUUUAAAUUUUCUAAAUUAUUUAGAGUGUUUGGAUGAAAUUUUCAUUAUUUUAGAUGAAAUUCUAGAGUUGAAGCUGUUUAACAAAAAAAAAAUUUAUUUAACUCUCAAAGUUAUAAAAACAAUCCACAAACUCAAGUCACCUCAAACUCACGAUCGAGUAGCCCUACAUAUUUGGUUUUUUCGCAUAGACUGGGACAUUUCAAACUUUUCCACGCACAUUAUUGGAGGUAAGAAUAUUCAAUGAUUCAGAUGUUACAAACUCUCGCUAAGAGUAAUGCAAUAGAUAGAGUAUUGACUCGAUUUAACUUUGCAGAAAAAAAAAUGAUUUAGCAGAAGAAAGAAAUAAACAAAUAUGAGGCUAAGAAGUUGUUAUCCCGUCGGCCUUUUUGCUGCGGUUAUGUGAAAAUCCUUUUUGUGAGAUAACAUUAGUAAUGAUGCACAUAGCCUUUGUGGAUUCAUGUAACCUUUAUGUCCAUUUCAUUGCAGUGCUGCCAUGUUGUGUUUCUAUUCGUAUGUGGUGCUCUCUGGAGGAAUCCCGCCUCCAAAGAAAUAGAAACCAUUUGCUAAUCCUUCAACUGAAGAAACUUUCCAUAGGUUUGAUUUUUAAAAAUAUGGUGUUGGAUUCGCGGUGUAAGUUUACACUUUUGAAUGGCUGCCUACACUUGUGACAGUUUCUUUAUGGCGUCAUAAUUUAAAGUUGUGAGUUUAGAUAGUAGAAUUAUUUACAAAAAUGUUGUAGUUCUCUUACACGUUGGGCAGAGUAAGCUCCAUAGUUACGCUGGUUAGAUCAAAUAAAUUGGUUACUAUAUAUUGUAUAAUACCAGUUUAAGUUAGAUAACCAAUACGGUUUAGUUUCCUUUUGCUUAAACCGUGUAUAUAUAUACAGUUGAUUGUAACAAACUUUGGUUAAUCAAUUCAAUUUAUUCUUUCGUUCAA